rnacentral:rRNA from 1 species
UACGUAGGGUGCGAGCGUUGUCCGGAUUUAUUGGGCGUAAAGGGCUCGUAGGCGGCGUGUCGCGUCGGGAGUGAAAGACCGGGGCUUAACCCCGGUUCUGCUUCCGGUACGGGCAUGCUGGAGUGUGGCAGGGGAGACUGGAAGUUCCUGGUGUAGCGGUGGAAUGCGCAGAUAUCAGGAGGAACACCGGUAGCGAAGGCGGGUCUCUGGGCCAUUACUGACGCUGAGGAGCGAAAGCGUGGGGAGCGAACAGG